rnacentral:lncRNA from 1 species
AUCGAUAUAAUCUUGAUCAGUGAGCCACCAAAUAGACUCAUUCAUAACAUCAUAAACCCUCCAGCAAACAAACGAAGAGAUUCCAGAUGCGAGUUCAACGCCUUUGGGAAGAAAGGUAACUUUACACGGAUGAAGCAAAGACGCAGCAGGUAUCUCAUCCUCGUGAAAGGAGUAAAAGAUCUCGUUAGGCUGAGCCUCCAAAAGGACGCCCUUCCCAAGCUUCAACUCACCGGGUCGAUACAGCCAAUUCACACGAACCUUAAAGCUACCUCCUCCUUCUCGUUCCGGAACCAGCAAACGGAUCAAACCAAUGAACGGUGGACAAUCCUGAGGCGGCUUAAACAGAGCACAGUCACCAACACUAAUCCUCCUCCCGUCCUGCACUAACCAUCAUCAAAAUCAAAACUUUAAAUCAAAUCGGAACCAAUCAAAAGCCAAUUGAGACGAAUCAAGUUACCUUAGAGAAGGAAGAAGGUGAAGAGAGAGAGAGAGACGAAGAAGAAGAAGCGGUUGAGAUUAGACGCGAAGGAGGUCUAAGCAUAAGCAGACGACGAUGACCUUUCUUCCUCCCAUGCAUAGCCGUCUCUCAUUUUUUCCCCUUUCGAAUCAAAACAAACACAAUUUCGUCUUCCUUGUCAGAAUUGGUUUUCGAUUAAAAAAAACCCUAAAAUUGAGAUUAAAAGAAGAAGAUGCGAUUCCUUAGGGAUUGAUUUUUGAAAUCGAGUACCUGAUCCAAUCAACGCGCGAAGAUCCAACAGCGAGAAGAAGAAGAAACCCCCGUAGAGUGCGAGACACGAAUCGAAAGCACGCCCUUGUUUGUUUUUUCGAUCCAGCGAAGAAGAAGAAGAAGAAGAAGAAGAAAAAAUAAAAUAAAAUGGAGAGAGAGAGAGAGAGACGAAGGCAAAAGGGGGGUACUACGAGUCGGGGCAGUUCGGGCAUGUGUUUCGGGCAGCGUUUUUAUUUAUUUUGUUUUUGGUUUUCUGGUGACAUUUGAGUGUGUUUUUCUUUUCUCCCCCCUUUUAAUAGCUCUUUUUGAUUUUCUAUUUUUUUCCUAAAUUUAAAACAAAACGAACUUCGUGAUUUAAAAAAAAAAGUUAUUUGGGUUAAACACAAAAAAAAGUCUGAUCAUUUAUAAAAAUCAAACGAAAUUUAGGAUCAUUUUUAAUCAACAAACUCAAAAAUAAAUGUGAGUACUUUAUGAAAUAAAAUUAGAGAAAUGUUCUGCUCAUUUUGUUUCAUAUAAUGUAUUUUAAAAAAUUUUCUCGCGUAUUUAAAAUUUAAUUAGAAACUCUAUUUUAUCCGUUGACACACUUUUUUAUUUAUUUAAUACACUAAUACAAUAAGGUUAAAAAUGAACAUUUAUUUAAAUUUUGUAUUGAAAAUAAAAAACGACACACUUUUUGAAAUAAAAAUAAAACUCUAAACACACUUUUUAAGAAACUGGGAAGUAUUAUCUAAUAUUUAUAGAAGAAAAUAGGGAAUUUGCACCGUAUGGCAACGAUAACUUAUUUUAUUAGGUAACUGACAGUCCCUCUGUUCACUUUUUCAUAAUUCCGAAACUAGCCCUAUAUGAAUAUAAUAAUGAGACCUAGGGUUUAGGUCGUGUGUCAGACUGACCGGUAAGAUAGACGGUAAAAAACGCCAUUGCAUGAAUAAUGAAUAUAAAAUUCGAAAUUGAAACAGUUUCCAAAUUUAUAUUCAAUAAUUUGCAAAGAACGAUACCAUUAAUGCUUUCCUCUAAAUUUGUCUUUUUGUCUUCUCUAAGUUUUAAUCUUUUGCUCAACUUCCCAAAAUUCUCUCAGUCCUAAAAGAGAUGAUUCCCUCUCGCGUCGGUGAAUUACCAGAAGACCAAGACGGAGAAACAAUUAUGUCGCUACCGGAAAUGAUGUUCGCCGAGGGUGAGGAACCCGUCGGAGUAAGGGUUCUUACAUACCAGUCGUCGCGUAUUAUCAACACCAUUCUCAACGCUCUUGAUGAAGAGGAGGUUCAGUUUAUCAGACAAUCAUCUUUCGGUAAGCUUGUCGAAAUCGCAGAUAAACCCGCCUUUUCCGGCAGAUUUGCUCGAUUCCUUCUGUCUAGACAACUGAGUGGAAAAAAAACAUGAAGCUUGGUUCCGAUUCGCCGGACAGCCCAUAAGAUUCUCGCUCCGGGAGUUUGCCAUAGUCACCGGACUUCCCUGCGGCGAGUUUCCCAAGAAACAGAAGGUCAAGAAGAAGAAAAACAUUAACGACAAACCCUACUGGCCUGAGCUUUUCGGAAGUGUCGAAGAUAUGCGUGUAUCUAGGGCGAUUAAGAUGCUCCAUAAAAAAACGGUUACGGAUAAAGAUAUCCGGAUCAAACUAGCGUGCUUAGCAAUUGUAUCCUCUGUUCUGUUAUCCACUAAUUUGAAGAUGAAGAUGCUGAAGGAACACGCCGAGUUGCUUGGAGAUAUGGAAGAGUUCUUUGCCUUCCCCUGGGGUCGGAUUGCAUUUGAUAUGUUGAUGACCAGUAUAAAAAAAAAGGAUGAGAUUUCCCUUUCUCAAAACUCUAUAGCCCUGAAAGGCUUUGCCCUAGCCCUCCAGCUCGUUAUUGUUGAAGCUGUUCCUUCGCUGACAGAAGUAGUCCAAGAAUCCUGUUCGUCAUCAGAGUCCGACAGCGAUGAAGAUGAUGUUGAUGGCGUGGGAAGUAAAACAAAGAAGAAAACUCUAAGCCCUGCUCAUGCGCGCGAAGUAGACAAAAAAGAAGAGGUAUGCUUUCCAUCUGUUCAUUGUACGUACAUUUUUAAUGAAUUUUGUAAUAUAAUCAUCUGAAUGUGAGAUCUUGUUUAAUGAUAUAUUAGGUAUUGGUAAGGAGUAUACUUCCCCAAGACCCAGCAAGACCGGUAGACGAGUCGGUGCUUGUAUGGGCUGAUGAAGUUGUUGACGUAAAAGUAGCGUACAUGCUUAGUUGCAUUAACGCUAAUCAAGUUUUCACGAAGGAUAUGUUUAGGGGUGGGGUAACCAAAGCCGACGUAGAAAGGAUGCGUGAGCUGGCUAAAGCAGGAGGGAGAAAGAAAACACUACCUACGCAGGGCAAAGAGUCACCAGUUGUGAUGAACGACGAACGAAGAAUAACUUCUAUUGUGAAUGCCAUUAUGCGACCGGAGCUUAACCGGAUUGAUGGUGAUAUUGCGACUGUUGUUGCCUCUGUGAAAGAGGUGUCUGGAUGUUCACUUGCCAUUGAAGCGAAGGUUAUUGCAACUGUCGAACGAAUGCUGGAUUCUUUCAAGACUGAGAUAAUGUCAGGUAGGAGGAGAUUAAAUACCCAAUCAUCUUUCGAGUCUCCUAUAUCUACAGGAGGCCCUGACGGGGUGGGAGAUGAAGAAGUUCUCCCAAACACAACCGCCGCAGCUCCAGCUGGAAAUGAUGAGAUCAUUGAGAAUGUGAUUGAAAAUCUCAGUCACUAUUCAACGCCUCCGGGUGUGGAUAACGACUGGCCCGUAAGUUUGAUAUUUGAUGUUUUAAGCAUUGUACUAUUAGUACUUCUCCAAAUAUACGUACUGCAGAUAUUCACUACAAUGUAAUAGUAGAAAACUGUUAACUAUUUGACAUACACGAUUGCAUAGCUAGUAUCUGGAUAAUGAAUGACAUUAUCGUUAACAGUAAUGGUCUCUUUCCAGGGUUCCGAUGGCAAAUCCCGACCUCAGACAGGAGUGAAUCAGGUAGCGUCCACUCAGGAAGAAAACACGGAAAGGAAUGUUACCGUCACAGCUCAGUCACUUAAGUCCAAACCAGUCGCGCCUUACCGGGUUAGUGUCACAUUGUAUAGCCGGAUUAAAAAUUGCAUAUAUAAUUAUAUACGGACAAAAAACCGGAUUUGCUUUCUUGCCGGUUAUAGAUUUAAGUGUCGUGAUACAUAAAUAUUUGGUUAUGUAGGCUUACGAUGGAGCAACAGACCCUCAUCAGAGGAACCCAUGUUCAGAGGGAAUUGUAGAAGAAUCUAACGAAAAUCACCCAUGUAGGUCUGCUCAUAGCCAGACGCACGAACACCCUGACCCAAUCGUAUGAUCACAGUCCCCUAAAUUUAUGUUACCUCAGUUUCUUUUUAUAGUUACAUGUCACCAUGGUUUUCUCUUACCAAUAACACUCCUUCUCCUUAAAUUUAUUCACAUGCAGAUUCCGUCGUUCUCACUUGGCCUCACUCAGGAAUUCCACCAGACCCGGGAACUGGGUGAUGAUGUUAUGGGAGAGAACGAGGAACAUCUGGUUGAGAAAGACAAUGGCGAUGAUACUAGAGAAACAGAGGAGAAUUUACUUUGCCGCAAAAGUAAGCGCAUCCGAACUGUCCCACCUCAACUGCUUACCGACUAUCAAUGUGAAGCUGCUAUUAUUAACCGUGCGAGAGAAGUACCCAUUAUGGGUAAUGGUCACUACGGCUUAUCAGAUGUACAUGACAAGUACAAACGCCUACAGAUUCUUUUGAAGAAAGAGUGGUAGGACCUCGACGAACAACCAUUUAUUAUUUUCGAUAUAUUCCCGAUAUGGACAUUGCUGAAAACUGAAUUUUUCUUCUCUGAUUCCUUCCAUUGUAGCGUUAUAAACGUUCUGGGCCUAUCCGUAUCUGGCAAGGACAUUACGGACAUUGGAGGAAGAACCCGGUUACUUCCAGGCAGAGUAUGUAACCUUAGCUUUGUAAAGGGUAGUUUAAAAAGUUGUGGUUGCUUAUUAAAUCAUAAUUCUGUCGCUCCUCGCAGGUCGUUGACAUCAUCAUGCGGGUAAUUGCAGCUUCUGUCAACAGGCGACUAUGUGAAGGGAGUUCCAGGACUCCGGUUUUUCUUGAUAGUCGCGUUCAGGUUCUCUUGUCCAGGAAUUUUACAAAGUUCAGAAAAAGUAAAAGAGAAAGUCAGUAUGUUUUCACCCAGGCUCUCGUUGAUACUCUGCAGAAGAGUUUGAAUUUCAACCCCGCUGUGUCGCUUUUCUACAUGCCUGUCAGCAUUGGUAGGCAACACUGGGUGGGGAUUUGCGUUGACAUCAGUACUGCGAAGGUAUAUGUUCUCGACUGCAACCCCCAAGUAAUAGAUGACAAGGCUUUAAGUAAGGAGCUUGCUCCGAUAACUGAAAUGUUCCCUUCCCUACUGAAACAUUGUGGGUUGUUGGUUGAGUAUGGGAACAACGCAUUUGUUGUUGAAAGGGUGAAAGGGGUAGUAAAGAACCCAAACCCCAGUGAUGCAGCCAUAACUUCUUGUUUGUUGAUGCAAACACAUGCCCUCUCUGGACCCGAAACUUGUAGAUCUAUCACUCCAUCACUCAUUCCUGACGAAGCUCAAACGGCAGCUGUGAUGGUGUAUGAGUUUCACAAAAAGAUUUAGGAGGUUCGUCUGUUGUUGCCUGAGCCCACUUUUUACCUUUGGUUGCACGUUUCGGUCUUACAUUCUAAGAAGUUUAAUGUAUGUUGUUUCCUUCUCGUACUUUCACUGGUUUGUAUUCGGUCUCUCCAUUAUCCGGCCGUAUUUUGUGAUAACCCGUUAUAUUGUUGGUUUUAUCCAUACAUGUUUGUUUGUUUUAAGAUUAAAAACCGGAUAUUUAUUUAAGGGAGUUAGCACUUUGCCAACACCUACUUUCCGUAAGCUGCACUCAAACGUUUGAUUCUCCCUGGUCAUUCACAAAAAAUUUUCACCUGUUAUUAUAUUCUGUUGUCUUAAAUUCCCUUUAAAAACUGGAUUAUAUGUACUGUUAUUGCCAUCAAUGUUGUUCUGAUAUACAGAACAUAUGAAUAUAGUAUGGAACUUAUAUUUAGGCAACGACUAUCACAUAUAUAUAUAUAUAUAUAUCAACAAUCGAUCCAAAUGAUUUCCAUAUAAAUCCGGUUAAUAUAUUCUCCUCUAAUGCUAUUUACUAUAUAGGCUUUAUUAGUCCGGCAAUAUUAUAUGCAUUAAGGAUUGAAAGUUACAAAAUUAAAUCCGUUAAAGUCAAACGAAUGAAUGUAGAUUCGAAAUUUAAUCUGUAAUUACUUUUUCACUUAAUUGACUUAUAUAUACUUCUUUGUUGUUAAACAAGUCCACCUCAUCACAUUUCUCCGUUCUCGACACUCUCAUAGACAUUAUAUACUGUCAUAUGCACCUUGAAUUUUGCACUGCUAUACUUGCCAGAAAAUAAAAUUUCACAUUAACAUCUUACAACUUAUCCCCGUUAACAUAGUAGACAAAAGAACUUCAAACGUAGAACCUUUUCCUCCCAGUUUUCAUUACGCUAUCACACAACAUAUUAAACAUAUUGACUACAAUAGCAUUACUUGCUACCCCCACACCCCCAAAAUAAACCUAAUAUCUGGGUAGCAUCACAAACCAAAAUACAACAACCCAUCACAUUGUUAAUAUAUAUAUCUUCAUAAAGCUGACACCUUCAUCCUUGACUUGCAUUUCUUCCAGUGUUUCCCUCCACAUCAGGGGCCUGCAGCGUGUUUUCAUUAUUCCCUACACCCGCAAGUUGCGCAGUUGGUCCCUCAUUCACCUGUUUUGACGAUUCACCUAUAUCAAGGUAAAAACCACCGUAUUUGAGUUGUACGUAUAUAUAUGUUUUCAAUGCCAAGAUUGAACAACCGGUUAUUAUUUCUUGCAAAAAACAAAAAAACAAACCUUUCUCAAGAUAGACAGGAUUUUUGUAGCAACUGGUCUCCAACUUGGUGAAGUUCACCUCCGACCCAGCCUCGACGACUGGUUUCACAUCUGUAGAAGAAACGUUGGAGGAGACGGUAAUGGGUUGGUGGUUUGCUGGGAAAGGAUGCACGUUUGAUGUCCCUAUGUUGAGCUCCGUUGGGGCGUAACCCACGUAUUCCGACCCCGGUACUCCAUAAAUUCUUUGUAGCUGAACAGCAUAGCUAGAAGACAUCAACCUUUCCCAAUAUUCCGGAGUGGCUUCCAGUGCACCAAAAUGAGGGUUGUAGUAGUUUGGAUCAUAUGUUGGGGAUGGAACAGAGGUUCUGAAACGUCCACCCGUUGCAACUUGGUGAAACCCUGGAAAGUCGAAACCAGUUACUACUGCCAAAUAUUGUGUUGGAAAUCAUUCUGUAUGUUCAUCUAAAUUAGCCGAUAUUUUUAUUUAUCUUCAGUUAAACAACACAAAAACCGGUUAAAAUUUUCCAUACCGUAAGUAUUGCCCAAAGAACCACGCCCGCCAUCUCCUCCUAUGCGAUUACCGGUACCUGUAUUCCCAACAUUGGGAACAAUGUGGUCAGCAGCUUCAAUGGUAGGACCUAGGUUUAGGUCAAGACUAUUUUUCGCCUUUUCAAUCUCCAUAGAGAAACGGUAGAGGAGCACCAUUUCAGAUUCCUCAAAGAUCUCAGCCAUGGCCCCUUGACUACACACAAACUCCUUGCCUCUUACCAUAUCUGCAUACGGAGUGUGUGAUACGUUAUGUGUUGUUUCUUACUAACCUUUGCAAAAAGAAAACUUGAGUAACGAAACUUGUAAAUCAUAUCUUCAAAAAGUACAAAGUUUUACCCAAAACAACAGCCUCGUGUUGCUCCUCUGUAACACCAUCGGCCAGAAAAUUUCGAGUACCGAUGGUGAAUGGCGAUCUGCAUCUGAACUGGUAUGUAGCAACUUCCUCCGCUCCGAAUAUUACGCAUAAUCUUGGCUCCGUAUUCCAUUCAUGAACGGAGAUCAUCAUCUCCACAUCCGCAUUUGUUACAAUGUUUUGUGGGGGGUAUGUAGCUCCGUGCGGCUCAAGCAACCAUUGUGGCAGCUGAAAGGUAAGUAGCAGAGGUGUUUCUGCACGAAGCCUAAAAACACCCCUCACCAUCCCCUUAACAGCCUCCACAUGGUCGUUUCUCCCGACCAGAAUGUCAUGCCCUAGGACGGCAGAGUCGCGUUCAAACCUCCAAACGCCUUCUCCUGAUUUCCUCCAUUGGCCUUUUGCAACCCUCACUAGACGCGACAUCUCUGUAGUGUGAUAAUGAAGAUCAUCAGCAGGGGGUAAAUAAAGGAUUAAAGUUAAUCUUAUACGAAGCUAGUGCCUCAGAAGUUGUACGAAAAACCGUUUCAGACAUAUCUUUUAAUUUAUUGUUUCAUUGAGGCCUUACCUUAUCGAAAUCUUUUUUACUAGUAUCACUUGAAGUUAUCUCCAGUCCUUCUCUGCUAGGUUCCCUACUAUCCGGUGUUAUUAGAAUAUUUUUGUGCUGCAAAUAUGCUAGUGGGACUGCGUAUAUAAAGCCAACUAUAACCUUUACCAACCGGUAUUACCUACACUUGUAAGUUAAGUCACAAAAUCUAACCCAAAUCUCUGCAUUUAAUGCGCGCAGCCUAUCUAGGGCUAGGGUAUCAUCAUUACCUGCUUCCUGACAUGACAAAACACCCUCGACAUUUUGUUUUAUUUAUUAAUACUGUCAUUAUCUUCAGUUCUCUGAACCUGAAGUCUUUGGUAGUAAGCUAACAACACAAAAUAUCUACAAUAGUAAGUAAGUUGGAAUACGUGGAUGCCAUGUGACCUUUGCUUAUUUUUUUUCAACCGGUGUUUAGAUAAAAUAAUAUUGUUGCCGCUAAGACCACACAUCUUAUUGCAUCGAUUAUGGUAUAUAUGUUCACUAUUUUGUUGAAUAGGCACCGUAACCAGUGUUUAGUACGUUUAAUUGUUUGCCAAAAUACUAUAACAAUACCACCUAUUUACAAAAAAUAACAAUAUAUUUAGUCUGUUUUACUUGGAAAAGUUAGAUGAAAAUUAUGUUACCAUCGAAAUGAAACUAAUAAUUAAACACGACCACUGUUAAAACACAAUAUUAGCCUAGAAAGCAUAAUUAUAUCUGGUUAUGCGUUGUGUUUGAAGGAUACUCAAAUGCCAAUUUGAUUUACAGAUAGGGUCUCCAAUUUGUAUCCUACUAUGGUUAUACCGUUUUGCUUUACAUAUCUAUAUUUAGAUGCGGGGUCAAUUACAAAUAAAAUAUAAUAUCGUAAUUAUAUUCUUCCAAGAUUAUUUUAUGUAAACUAUUCUCUAACUAUAUAGUUCCAUUAUUAUUGACUAGUCAUAUCAAUUAAAUCGCUUAUAUAUAUUUGAUGGUUACGUUUGCCGCCUACCUGUCUACAUCACCGCAUAAUGAGUUUAAUACAGGCGUGGCAGAUAUAAAGUAGCAACGUUUAAUUUCUUAGACUUGCAUAUUUUCACUGCUUUUCUUGGGAAUUUACAUGAAAGUAAAACAUUAGCUGUUUAUAUACUAAACCGCAGAUUAGCCCAUUAUAAGAUAAAGUUACGUAGAAACAUCUUAUUAUCUUACAUACACACUUACUUAAAACCCUUAAUGUAAUGUAGAACAAUAACCUUAUCUUACAGACACACUUACUUGACAAUGCAAGUUGUCAUUAUUAUUUAUUGUACAAACUCGGGAAACUAGAUAGACCUGCCACAACCCAUGAACUGGUUUAUAUUUUACAUUGCUAUCAUUAACGAUUUUUAUCCAGUUCUACGACCCCCCAAUACUUACAUACACCUUCAUCAUCCGAGUCAACAACUUUGCGUAACCAUAUUAACACAGAUCAUAUAGGCAUUUUGCACGUAACCCGGUUAUGCCCCUUGCACUUGCAUCUACUGCACAUAGUUUGUUUCUUCUUCCCUCUCAUCUGCAGAAAGAAAUAUUGGUGGUUAAAAAAUAUUUACUGGACAAAGGUAACUUUCUUCUAUAACUUUUAAUCUUACACAAUUUACAAUCGCAAAGACAUUGUACUUAGUACCUCAAAUUCUCCUCUUGAUAAAAUCCGGUUUUUUCUAGGCCUCCCUGGUGGCCUCCUGCAUGCUGGUGGGUUAACCUCUAACUGGCUCUCAGAACUGUCACUCGACAGAAUUUCAAUGCUUUCGUACCCGACAACCGGAUAUAUUAAUUUACUGUACGCUGCUUGGUAGGUUCUCAAAGUGUAAUAUUCUGCAACAAGGGAAUCGACCCUGAUUUUGUACCUUGUGGCCGCGGCAAUGGCGUGAGUGCAUGGAAUUAGUAGCGCUUGAAAUUCACAACAACUACAGGUUUUCUCUGCCAAAUUAACAUGCCAUGUGUUUCCCUCCUUAUCUCGCACUUCAUAUUGAUCUUCCCCAAUGAGGGUGACCCAAAGGCCCCCACUCCUUUCAAAGUUAGAUGCCACAAGAUCAUCCACAUGCGGUGUGAGAAUCUUAUCAUCCCCCCGCUGGAGUUGCCUCCUUGCAGCAAACCACGACAUCAGCUUUGCUCUUAUAUAUUCAAUGAGGGAAAGUAUUGGAUAUUCUCUAGCCUCUCGCAAAACGGAGUUCCAAGUCUCUGCCACAUUACUCGUCAUAAUGUUGUAACGGUUGCCUUCAAAUUGAGAUCUCGUCCAAUGUGGGAAACCAAUUCCCAUUAGGUACUCCGCACAGGAUGCAUUAACGUUUUUAAUCUCGUUGAAAGUACUGUAAAAGUCUGAGAGGCUGUACGCUCUUGCUGCCUUCCCCACCAAGUACCCCAAGUGCUUGUCUUUGAAAUACGUCCUUAUGUUCCUUUUAAGGUGAAGAAUGCAUGCGCAAUGCCGGCCCAUCGGAUAAACCUGGAAUAAACAAGUGCGUGGUGAUUACUUAUUCAGGUGUGUAAAAUAAUAUUUUCAUUUUUUUAUAAUUAAACUCGAACAGUUUUAAAUUCUAAAUCGUCUUACCGGCAACAUUAAAAUAUAUCUGGUUUAUAGUAAAUUGAAUAUACAUAUUACAGCACGUUAUAAAUCUUCCAGAACUUGUAAAAUUAAUUUUACUCGCCAAUUUAUCAAAACUAACCUUUGCAAUGCCGUGGUAUAUUGAUGGAUUUCGAUCAGACACGAAUACAACAUCGUCGUUGUUUGGGAUGAAUUGUGUUAGUUUCCUAAAAAACCAUUCCCAAGCUUUGUCGUUUUCUCCAUCCACGACCGCCACCGCUAAUGGAAAUACUUGAUAAUUACCAUCUUGAGCUGAAGCAGUCAACAAACAUCCUGCAUACUUGCCUCUUAGAUGUGUGCCAUCAACUAUUACUACCUUCCUCAUGAAUUUAUAACCUUCAAUGCUUGCAGACAUAGCCAGAAACAUAUAUUUGAAUCUAUGCCCUAUCCCUUCUGCAUACUCGGUGUGGAUAUCAGCAAUACUCCCGGGAUUAGCAUGUACUAGCUUCUCAAGGUAGGCCGGGAGGAGAUUGUAAGAAGCACCACAUGACCCCUUUGCGUAGUCUAAAGCUACCUCUCUGGAUCUCCAUGCUUUCCAAUAUGAAAUGUGAACCUCGUGAUCACCCUGCAUAGCUUCCCUAAUUUCAUUUGGCCGGGGGCCCCCUCCUCGACCAGCAAAUUUUCCCCUCAUCAUCCCCCCAAUGACCGUAGUUGUUGCUUGCGACUGGUAUCCAGAACGAUCGUCAACACUACAAGAAUGUGCUAAAUUAACUUUUCGGACCUCGUACAACUGCGUGUUUUUUAACAUUGCCGCAUACACUCUCCAACUACACGUGUGGCUAAAGCAUCGGAGAACCAUCCCUCCAGGGGCGGAUCUGCUAUUCCGAAAUCUGAAUUUAUUUCGGAUUGCAUACAUCGCCAUAUGCUGUUUGAAAUCUUCUCUGCACUUGAAUAUCAUCCCAACGUUCACAACAUCCGGGUUAUUGGCUCCUAUAGCAGGACCUGUGAGUUUUAAAAAAAAACAUAUUAUCUACUCAGAAUUUUCUACAUCUUUCAUAUUUAAGUGUUAUGUGUUUUUCUAUACUUAAUUAUUGUAUAUCAUAUUUGUUCAAAUUCAUCUAAAAUGUAUAUAAUCACAUGAUUAAUAUGUUGGUCCAACUUGAACAUAAAAAAACACCUACUCACCACCUUCGUUUGCUUCAAUUUCCGAAGAAGAUUCGUCUAUUAUCAAUCUUUCCCUCCCCACAGGUAUGGUGACGGCGGGUAUAUCAGAAUCAUCAGUUACAUGUACAUAACUGGGCUCGCCUCCUACUUCUCCUCCGCUCACUCUCGUGUCUUUCGUUAUAUAUGUCUCCUGACGUAGAUUGUUCCCUAUAUUUAUAACAACGAUUUAACCUCAAAUUUUCAAUUAAUACUUCAAAAUCGUUUGCCAUAAAGCUUUUAAAAGUGGUCGAGAUGCUUACCCUCAUUAUUUUCGUCUGCAACUGUUACAUUUAUUGGAUUAUAUAGGGUGUCCCCUGGCUUCCGUUGAUUACAAUUGCUUGUUGAACCCGUUGAGGAAUUAUCCACCUCGACAACAUUAGGGGUCGCAUCAACCGUAACUUCGUCAUUCAUAAUUACAUCUCUGUUUGCACAAUUUCCCCCUGCUUGGCCAUCACCAGUCUCCGACUGUGCUUCCCCUUGAUUGUAAUUACGGUUACUCACAUUUUCCCAAUAUUCUGGUCCAACCUCACACUCUUGCCAGUCAGAUUUGAAGUAUGUUGAUCCAUCAGAUGCAUCGCCCUCACCUAGUUGGUUAUCUGCCAGUCAUAUUAUGUCUUUAAAUAUUUUGGACCACUAUGCAGUUAGUAAUAUUAUCACUGUAUUAUAUUUCUAAAGUCGGUUAUUCUGCCUCAUUUUCUGGAUUUUAAUUCAUAGUAUUCGGUUAUUCAUUAAAAUAUUCGGUUAUUGCGAACUCCAUUACACAAGGAGAAACGACACCUAGGCCAUUAUCUAUAUAUAUAUUUUGGAUGCAACAAUAAUUUUUAGGGAGGAUUAGUUGAAUUUAAGGGUAAUCAUCAUCAUUUAGUUCUGUUUAAGAUCCUCCCAUUUGGAAAGUGUUGGGCCGGUGGUUAAUUAAUUUUAGGAUAUAACGUUUUCCACAAUACCAUGCAUGACCGCUUAAUUCUUCUUCGGCUUUUGAACGUCGUAAAUUUCAGGAUUGCGUAAGGGUUAGACUUAGGGGACGUCUAAACUAUAGGAAUUAUUCAGUAACCUGUUAUUAUAUUGAAAUAUUCCCAGUAUCGCUUACUCUCGUCUGGAUUGUUUUCAUAGCUUGCUCCCUGCCAUAAUGGAAAUCCUCUUGCCUUUUCAACCUCAAACGAGAAACGGUAAAGGAGGAACAACAUCUCAUCGCUCAUUAGAUGCCUCAGUAAAGUCUCACUACACAUUAUGACGUCAUUGCCCACCAUACCUGUGCAAAUAUCAAAUGAAUUUAGCCUUUUAUUUGCCGUACCUAUGUCAAAAUCUUGUUACCAGUUUCUUAAUAUAUUACACCGAUUACCUUUUAUAUUGGCUACAUGAACCUCUUCCGAAACGGUUCCGUCUAAAUAUGUGGUGUUGCCAACUAUGAAAGGAGUUCUACACAGGAACUCGUACCUAGCCACAUUAAGAGACCCGUAGGUUAUACAAAGUAGGACUCCUUUUGUCCACUCUUGGACACUCAUCACUACUUCGACAUCUUCAGAAGUUAUUAUGUUAGCUGGUUGAGAAUUAGAUACAAUUCCCUGCAGCAUUGCGUCUGGGAGUUGAUAUGUCAAAGCAAUGGGGCAUUCUGGUUCUAUAACGAGUUCUUCACGUAUGAGACUUGUAAACGACUCGAUUUUUUCAUUGUUCUGCGCGACUAUAUAGUGCUCCACUUCUGAUGGAUCCCCUUCGAAUUGCCAAUUUCCGGAGAGACUUUUUUUCCAGUUUCCACUCUGGAUUCGGACAAGCUGACCCAUCUGUAAAGAAACAAUAGAAGGAAGAAAAUAAAUAAUAAGUUACCGGUUAUAAAAAUUAUAAACGGGAUUACAGGCUUAAUUUCAGGUUAUUAUUGUUUCAGUUUUUAACGGUUAAAAUCCUUGUUGAGGAGUAAAGCCAUCAUUAAUGGUUACAUUCAAUGACUUUUUUUGAGGAACAUUUAACUCACCUUCACUCCGUACCGUUGUACUAGCGCUCUCAGACUUGAUUAAUAAGCAUGUAGCAGUCCCCAAAUAUAAUCAGGUUCACUUUCAAAGCUGGUUUCUACACUCUGUGGCUUGCCACUUACUGCUUAUUUAUAGUGAAAUUCACAGUGAUGACCCUAGAACGAACGAGUGUAUUUAAGUGACGAAGCGUGUAAUCAUCACCUCCUUAAGUUACAUAUUGAUGUGACUAGGGUUGUAUGUAUAGAUACAGUGACAAAAAUAUGUUGCUCAUACUGAUUAUCCUUUCACUAUCUAAGCCAUAGUAACCGAAUUGAGGAGAAUCACAUAUUUUGGGUGUAAAUAUCUCUGAUGCAUUAUUACAGGAUGUGUAAACGAUGUCGUUUAAUUAUUUACUUUAUGCUACACACAGUAACAUACAUGUAUUAACUUUUUUUACAUCGUUGAUGUUCAGCAUAUCUAACUAACCUUGUAAUUCAGAAAAGUCCAGUUUAUAGUCGUCCCGACGGCUCACCUCCAUUACUACUACUCACAUUAAAUAUCUCUGGUUAAUCUAUCGGAAUAUUUGUUAACCAAUACACACAUAAUUCCCUUUUUCACAAUUCCUUUAACAAAAAUGUGACGUAGAUGUGAGAAGAAACAUAUCUAUAUACUGGAAACAAAUCAGGUUUUGAUGUGGUUUUUUAAAAUGCCACGUCUCCUUUUUCAUGCAUUACGUCUUCUUUUCCCUCCACUAACGUGAAACCUAUAAUUUAAAAUAUAGCCGGUUGCAGGUAAGCGUUGGAGUAUUUUAAGCUGAAGUGUCGUAGGGCAAAUUAGUCAUUCCAACCUAGCAACACGACCUGUUCGCAAAUUAUUUAUAAAUAAAGUCCAUUCCCCUAAUUCCAAAAGUUGCAAUGUAUAUUGACCCUAAUGAGCCAAGAAAAUAUAACAUUCAUCUAAAAAUAGAAAAAAAAAAUAUAACAUAUUGGAGUAAAAUCUUCAUUUUCUGUAUCUUUAGAUAUGUGCACAUUCUCUUGCCAAGAAGAUAAGAAAUAUUGAAAUUUUCUUUUUUCCAUGUAGAUCAGAUCUGGUCUGAGAGAGCUUCUCUUUGGAACGUAUCAGCCAUGACUAAUACUUAUCUUAUAAAAUAAGUGUCGUAAAAAAAUGGAGUAAAAUUCCUAUGUAUUUGAAAAAUUCUAUUUUUAGUGGAAAAAAACUAGAAGAGAGAUUAUCUAUAUAGCAAGCAAACUAAAAUUAUAAGCAUGAAUAAGUUGUUUCCACAAGUUUACAAAACCGAUCAGUUUAUAUAAUAAUUUUGUGAUUUGAUCCGGUUUAUUCUGGCUGAUUACGGUUUGAAUGUGGUGACCUACCCUCCACAACAAGUUAUGUUUGGUUAUGAUUUUUAUGCGAGGAUCUUUUGGUUACAUUGUACAGUGUCAAAUCACUGUCAUCAAAGUACAAGUCAAUCAUUGUCUCUCUUUGACACAGACAUUAACUUUUUGUACAAUGAGACUCGGAAGCUAUUUGAGUAGCUUCCAGUGACAUUUGGCUUCUUCACUCACCGAUUGCUCCUAAACAUGUUCUUCACAAGGCACAGAAUAUGUAGAACAUCUCAAGAUUUUGAGACGGUAAUGUUAGCUACUUGAAGGUUCCAUAAUUGCAUAGGUGACAAGACCAGUCAAAACUGGCAAUUGGAGAUGGUGCAAAUGAUGUUGGAAUGCUUGGGAUCAGUGGAGUGGAAGCAAUGCAGGUUCUUUAAGGAAUCUCAGAACAACCAUUUGCACGGUUUUGUCUCAAGGUAUAAUGAAACAUUCAAAUCAAAAAGAGCUGCGUAGUUUGCUGUAUAGUGGAGUUUCUUAACCCAAAGUCUUGCUUUGUUUGCUGUAACUGUUCCCUAUAUUGUACCAGGAAGUGGUACAAAAUCUCCCCUUUGGUUGUUACAUGGCUUCUGCAGCACAGUAAUCAUUUUCUUCCUCUGCAAAACCUCUCUUGAAUCCCAAGCUUUCAACCACCAAGGGAAAACCGCAGGGGAGAGAGAGAUUUUUGGAGGAACUAUGUACACAGGUGGGUUGUGAGUUAGCAGAUGGUACAAUCAGUUACUACCUGUUAUUGCAAUAUAUGAGCCAUUUUGUUAUAACAGAGACUAAAAGUUCUGAAAUGUGGAUUCAACCAUAACUAACCACAAGUAAAAAAAUCUACAAAAGAGUUGCUGCUGACUAUAUAAUACACAAACCAUGUCAGAUUUUACCAGUCUCAUACCAACAAUGACCAUCAUUUUUUCUUUUACAGCAGAGCUCCAAAAAAAAAAGAGAAAAAAAAAACAUAAACUAAACACUCGCUUGCAUCUCUAAAAGAGAUAAGGAACUAAGUUAGCGUCUGCUUUUAUCUUCAAGAGUACCUAAGAGCCAACAAAGAUGAAUUAGAAACACAGUCAGCGAGAGAUAAUAUAAAGAAAGAAACAGAAGAUGGUAGAGCUGAAAGAAGAGAGUAAAAAUAUGCUUACAUGCUUAGUGCAACGGCCUACAAAGAGAUUCUGAGGUUUGUUAUUGCCAAGAGGGUUGCUUGUAUCCAUCCCAUCCACCACUGUCUGGUUCCUUCCUCUUGAGAGUACCACCAAACAUUUGAUACAUUCUUGCUUCAUCUUUCAAGGGUAAAGAACCAGAGGAAGAUAGCUGUCUUUGUACAAGUGCUGCUUCAUCUCUGCCAUCAGUUUCAUGCCCUCCUGGUCCAGAGUUCAAGUCAAGACCAGAUCUCAACCAUUUUGCAUUGUUGCUGUCCGAAACUCCACCAUUGCUGUUUGGGAGAUUCACGACAUAAGGCCUUGGGUAGUUAGAAGGGAUGGCAACUCCUGGACCCAAUAUUUGAGAGUUGACAGGAGGGAAGCAUAGCCUGCCACUUGAUGAAGAGUCCAUGUAUGGUGUUGAAGCACCUGAAAAAUUUGCUGAGGAAAGAGGAAAGCUGGAACCAAAAGGAAACCCAGGAUACUGAAAUGCUGAUGGUGGGAAUGAAACUGCUGGAGAAGACAGUAAAACAGGGCCUCUGUACAUAUCAGGUGUAUAUGAUGAAACUUCAGAUGUUGGACCAACCAUUCUCUGCGGUCCAUUGCCACGUUCAGGCAAGACUUGAGGAAUGCUCAUUGCUGAAUAAUUGUUAACAGCAGGAAACCAAGAUGAGAAGCCAGGCCUUAUUCCACUGAUCAUUGGCUGUGCACUUCGGGAAUUUUGACUAAAACCCAGAGAUGACUCAACAACGUUAACAUCAUCAACAGCAGGUCCAUCGUUUAAAUCAAAAUCCCUACUACCACCAGAAGAUAAGUUUGUCUGUUGAAAAGUUGAAUUCACCCGAUGACCACUGCUUACUGUAUGAUUAUUCAUAUCGGCUGGAUCAUCAAGUCUGUUUAGAUCAAGAUCCAGUACACCAGCGGGAUUGGCAAAUCUUUGGGAAGACAGCUCUUCAAGAACUCUUUCAUCCGGUACAUUUAGGUCGAAGUCGAAGAAUGUCUUUGUUUGCUUGCCAGCAGUUGUCGAAGCAUCACAGGAAGCCACAUUAUUCAUGUUUAGUGGCACCACCUCUUGGACUUUUCUUGGCUCAGGUGGCCGGAAGGCACUAGUGGCAGCAGAUCCUCUCCAGCCAACAGUUGCUUUAUUUCUCAACAGAUCAUCAGGCGGAACAAAUGCACCUUUUGCAGCAGCAGCAACUGUAACGGAUGCAGGAAGUAGACUGGGCUGUAAAGGAGUAGGUGUUAAAGAUAAUGAUCCAGAGAAGUUAUUUGAAUUCCCAUCUCGUGUAUCAUCCCCACUGAAACCUUCAUUUAGAUCAAAUUCAACUCUGGCUUCUAGCUCUGACCCUGCUGAAGCUGAAGCUGAAACUGAAGGAACAUCUUUGGCAACAGAGGUACAUUCCUCGGCUUCAUCCCCAUCGUCACAUGUUGACGUGGCGCACCGUUUUCCGACUUCAGCACUCUUUAGAGAUGCCUCUACAUGCUCAACUUCACCGUUAGUUAAAGAUGAGUACAGAUGCGCUGUCACAGGCUUGCUCUGUUUAUCUGUCUGGUUCACAUGAUUAAUCCCCACGUCCAUCUUUUCUGCAGCUAUGCCCUUGGGGAGCUCGGACGAAACAGUUACAUCUUCAGCCGUUUCUUUAUCCAACUCAGAACUCAAGACUACCGGGGGUUUAUGCUCUUCCUUGUUAUCAGAGUGUGAAUUUGCAACAACCAAGGAUUCUACUUUGGGACAUAAUACGAUGGCUUUACAUUCAGCUGGCGCAGAAGUUUCCACUGAUGUACAAGCAGCCUUUCGAUCGUUAGCUGUUCCACCACAAUCAUUAUCAUCAGACAAUUUCUCUGGCAUCGAUCUAUCAACAUUUUCAGUACUCCUAUCCUUGGCAAACUCUGACAAAACUGAAACCACUUCACCCAUUUUAUUAACUAGCUCAGAACUUAAUAUCACCUUUGGUUUAUCUUCCACCUGAGCACCACCAGCAGCCUCCAAGUGUGAAUCUUCAGCAGUCAAAGUAUCCUCAUUUUGACUUUUGCCAACGGUUUUACAUUUACGUAAGGCAGAGUUUCCUGUCCUCAGCACUGUAUCUGCCACUCCAUCUGUCUCUGAUAUCUCUUCAGUCUUUACGUCAGCAACUACCCGACUAUCACCAUCAUCAGAAAUGUUUCCCCUAAUGCCUGAUGUGGGCCCAGCGGUUGGGGCAAUAUCAUCUGAAUUUUCAUUGCUUUCUAGGCACUGAUCCACCAAUCUUUGCAACUCUUCCAUUUCUGAAUCAGAGGGCUUAGAAUCAUUCACAUUCACUACAGAGGCCAACUGCUCGCCACUACUACCGACAUGUUCAACAAUGGUGAGAUCCUUGGCAAGAGCUUCAGCUUGCUCGUUAGGCAAGCCUGUUGUAUGGUUCUCUGAAAUAUCAUUCAUCAAGGAAUCUGAAACCAGGGAUACCGCGGGUGAUGCAACAGGGGAUUUGGAAAUUUCAUCAGCAGCAGCAGAAGCUAGAAGAUUCAUUCCAACGUCAUCCACACCAGCCUCACAUGCAUUUGCCUCAGAGUCCCUGACACAACUUUCAAUCAAGGCAUUCAUUGAGCUGUGUGAUCCACUAUCCCCUUUUCCAGUUUUCACAACAUCUCCUAAGGUAGGAGACGUGGGUUUGAUAAUAUCUUCUAUUUUACUAGACCCAUCAAGGCUAAAAUUAGGUCGAUUUGUAUCAUUGUUCUCUGAAGGAACAGGUGAUGGAGCCCUGCUACUACCAGCUGCAUGAUCCUCAAAGGAACCUCCACUAAAACUCUGUGCCGGACUGCGACCACGUUUUGGCAGCUUAACAAUUAACUUGUUACUGCAACCUUCAGCCAUAGGUAUGUCAGGAGUCUUUUCAGUUGCUGUUCUUUGUGAUGAGAAGCUCCUGCUCAGCCCAACUUCCCUAUGGACUGCACCAGUAUCUCUUUGCUGCCCAUCAUUAACGACAGCUACACCUGUUCCAAGUGAUGGUGCUGAUCUAGUAGAACUUGGAGAUGUGGUUGCAGACUUCAUGUUGUUAUCUGACGGUAUUAUGACAGACACGGACUUAGAAGGAUGUUGAUGAGAUGCUGAUGUCCUGGCUGCAUCAGCAGAUACACCUGAAUGUCUACUGCCAUGAGAAACUUCAGACUGACGAUAUCUUCCAGGCCAAGAUGCACCCUGAUUAGAUCCCGACUUGGCAUCCAUUUCUGCCUCAACACGUUUCUUCCAUGUAUCAACCAAGCUCCUUGCCUUUUUCCCGAUUUCCGAGUUCUUAUGUGAUCGCAAAUGGUUAACAGACUUUCCAAUGUUGCAAGUCUGAAGAGCAUUGAGAUUCACAGGCAGCUUAUCAAGAGCACGCAGCAAGAUCAAAAGAAAAUCGUCCACUGAUCUACCAUUGUCUUUGGGACUGCUCCCAUCCCCAAUUUUCCCUUUAUGAACUUCCUGUAGCCACUCAUCAAAAACAGGUAAUCCCCUCAGCUGGACAAAACGACUGAGGCAAUCAAACUUGUCUGUUGCUGCUACAACGCUUGCAAGAAUGGAUCGCCCAAUCAAAUCUGUUUUCUUCUCAUUCUUCUCAGGCAGCAUGAGCUGUACCAAUUUCUCAACCCCUUCAGAAUCCACUAGCCUCCCUCUCUCAGUAAUUUUUGCAAUCUCAGACUUCAAACUGCUUUCUGUUCUUACAAAACCAGAACCACCAUCAUCAAUCCGACUUGGGCGUUCUCUUUUCACAGAUUCAGAACCCUGAUCACCACGCUCUCUCUUCCUUCCUUUACCCUGUGAAGAAGAGGAGCUGCUGUUCUGCAUACCUUCUGUUCCCGUUUUCGCUUGAGAUGUUGUCGGACUAUUCGUUGACUUAGGAGAACGACCACCCUGCUGUAAUGUCAUCUUGGAACGAGUCUUACGCAAUAAGUUAUCUACUUCUUGUUGACGUUCCUGCACAAAGAAACAAAAAAAAGGGUUGUCAAAACCAGAGAAGAAACAGAAGAGAACAACAAUUGGAUAAUAAUGAUUACGAUCUCACUCACAUCGAUAUAAUCUUGAUCAGUGAGCCACCAAAUAGACUCAUUCAUAACAUCAUAAACCCUCCAGCAAACAAACGAAGAGAUUCCGGAUGCGAGUUCAACGCCUUUGGGAAGAAAGGUAACUUUACACGGAUGAAGCAAAGACGCAGCAGGUAUCUCAUCCUCGUGAAAGGAAUAAAAGAUCUCGUUAGGCUGAGCCUCCAAAAGGACGCCCUUCCCAAGCUUCAACUCACCGGGUCGGUACAGCCAAUUCACACGAACCUU